AAAAAAAUAUUAUUUAUAAAUAAUCUUUAUGAACAUGUGAAAUAAUGUGAGUGAAAGAUUUUAGUAUAUCAUUUUAUAGUGUUUGAAGUGUAAAAGUUAAUAGAAGUUUAAGUGAGUUUAAAUAAAACUUCAUCAAUUAGAUUUUUCAAGCUCCAUUCUUAUUUGAAAGCUCAAAUGUGAGGGUAUUAUUUAAAUAAUUUUAUGUUUUUAAACAUUUUAACGUUGUUUUCACGAUAAACAAUUUUUUUUAUUUUAUUUGUUAGUAAUUAAAAAAAAAAAUUAACAUUCUUAAGAAAUAAUACUCCAAAAGCAACGAAAUACCUUCUACACGUGUUUUCCAUUAAGAUAAAAUGAAGUUGGAUUAGUAUUUUUCAUUAAAGAAGAGGAUGUUGAUAACUUCGACGGACAACGUCGACACGAAUGGCACGGAAUUUCAUAUAAAAAAUUAAAUUUAAUUGAUAGAAUGUCGAAAAAAUGUUAUGAGUGGAGGCGUGUGAAUGAUAUUCCACUAAUUCAUGAGCGCAAAAGGCCCAGAGUAACCCAAUAAUAAUUUAAUGUUACAAGUACCCAGUCGGGUGCUCUAUAAAAUUACAAGUCCAAGAGUCUCUUGGCACGGAUGGCACGGAAUUUGUAUAAAAAAUUAAAUUUAAUCGAUGAAAUGUCGAGAAAUUGUUUUGGAUAAAGGCGUGUGAAUAAUAUUUAACCAAUUUAUUAGCACAAAUAGCCCAGAGUAACUCGAAAAAAAUUAAAUCUUGCUGGUAUCCAGCCGAGUACUCAAUAAAAUUCAAGUCUCGCAAUUUCUUGGCACGGAAUUUCAUGCAAUAAAUUUAAUUAAAUAAAUAAAAUGCCGUGUAUUCGUUAUGAAUAAUAGCGUGUGGAUUAUAUUCCACCAAUUCAUUGCCAUAAAUAGCCCAGAGUGACUAAAAAAAAAAAUUAAAUCUUGCUGGUGUCCAGCCGAGUACUCAAUUUAAAUACAAGUCCAACUAUCUCUUGGCACGGAUGGCACGGAAUAAAAUAUUAAAAAUUAAGUUUAAUUGAUGAAAUUUCAAGUAAUUGCUUAAAAUAAAGGCGUGUGAAUUAUUUCCCACUAAUUAAUUAGGGAGAAUUGCCCAGAGCAACUUAUUAUAAAUUGAAACUGGCUGGUAUUCAGCCGAGUACUCAAUAAAAAGACAAGUCUAGCAAUUUCUUGGCACGGAAUUUCAUGCAAUUCUUUUAAUUUAAUAAAUAAAAUGCCGUGGUAGAAAUUAAAUGUCCGGCGUCAGAAAAAAGCUUUCGCACUUAUAUUGACACUGCAAAUUAUAAUAAAAUUU